rnacentral:rRNA from 1 species
CCUACGGGAGGCAGCAGUAGGGAAUCUUCCACAAUGGACGAAAGUCUGAUGGAGCAACGCCGCGUGAGUGAUGAAGGUUUUCGGAUCGUAAAACUCUGUUGUAAGGGAAGAACAAGUACGUUAGGAAAUGAACGUACCUUGACGGUACCUUAUUAGAAAGCCACGGCUAACUACGUGCCAGCAGCCGCGGUAAUACGUAGGUGGCAAGCGUUGUCCGGAUUUAUUGGGCGUAAAGCGCGCGCAGGUGGUUUCUUAAGUCUGAUGUGAAAGCCCACGGCUCAACCGUGGAGGGUCAUUGGAAACUGGGAGACUUGAGUGCAGAAGAGGAUAGUGGAAUUCCAAGUGUAGCGGUGAAAUGCGUAGAGAUUUGGAGGAACACCAGUGGCGAAGGCGACUGUCUGGUCUGUAACUGACACUGAGGCGCGAAAGCGUGGGGAGCAAACAGGAUUAGAUACCCUGGUAGUCCACGCUGUAAACGAUGAGUGCUAAGUGUUAGGGGGUUUCCGCCCCUUAGUGCUGCAGCUAACGCAUUAAGCACUCCGCCUGGGGAGUACGACCGCAAGGUUGAAACUCAAAGGAAUUGACGG